rnacentral:rRNA from 1 species
CGACGAGUUUGAUCCUGGCUCAGAGCGAACGCUGGCGGCAGGCCUAACACAUGCAAGUCGAACGAUCCUUCGGGAUAGUGGCGGACGGGUGAGUAACACGUGGGAACGUGCCUUUUGGUUCGGAACAACUCAGGGAAACUUGAGCUAAUACCGAAUGUGCCCUUCGGGGGAAAGAUUUAUCGCCAUUAGAGUGGCCCGCGUCUGAUUAGCUAGUUGGUGAGGUAAUGGCUCACCAAGGCGACGAUCAGUAGCUGGUUUGAGAGGACGACCAGCCACACUGGGACUGAGACACGGCCCAGACUCCUACGGGAGCAGCAGUGGGGAAUUUCCGCAAUGGGCGAAAG